rfam:Triticum aestivum genome assembly, contig: Triticum_aestivum_CS42_TGACv1_scaffold_193969_3AL
UAUAUAAUCCCUCCAUUCCGAAUAACUUGUUGAAGGUAUGGAUGUAUCUAGAUGUAUUUUAGUUCUAGAUACAUCCAUUUCUGCGACGAGUAAUUUGGAACGGAGGGAGUAGAUC